rnacentral:piRNA from 1 species
CUAAGCUUGAAUGCUGGUGUCCAUGGAU